UUUUUUUUGGAAGGUGGGGAGCAGGAGUGGAUAUUUAAAUAGAAGUCAGACUGUGCUUUGCUGCUAACCAAAGAACCCUGUUGAUACCAAAGGCUUCGAGGAUGGUGAAGGCCCAGAUUUCCAUCACACCAAAGAGGGUGCCUACAAAAUAUCCCAGUAAGAUGGAAUGGACAUAAGGAUACUGACAUAAGGAUCGUUUGUGUCGGAAGCCCAGAGGGCUAGGAUGCAGGAGAGGCCGAGCAGGUGUAUCCACCCAACCCUGGACUUCCAGAACCAAGAGCCAAAGCAAACCUCUUUUCCUUAUAAUCACUCAGUCUCAGCUUGUUGCUGCUGUUCAAGUCUUCUGUGGGAUGUUCAAACAGCCAUUACCAAAGGCCAUUCUUUCUUCCUGGUCAGAACAUGCAAUAAUACAUAGGUGCUCUAAAAGCAUGUGAAGGUGACAAUGUUCCAAAGAGUCUAGAACAAGGAUAAAAAAUGUCCAGCACCUGCCCUUUAAGACAACAAUGAUUCAGGCAGUGAUAUUAUGGGCAGUAGGCAAACAAGUAAAUAUUGAGGAAGAAUUGCCAUACAUUGAGCACCAUAUGGAGCCAGCCAUUCCAUGAAUUCUGUAGCAGAAGAGUAAGAAAAUUAGCUUUCACUCUGGAAGAAUCCCUUUGGUUGCAGUGGUGGGAGAUUGAAAGGAGACCAAACAGCAGUAUUUUGUGCUACAUUUGCAGAGGUACCUGGGAGCGGCAACCUUAGACCGCCAAUCAGCAUGCUCCCAGGGUACCUGGGAAUUGGUUCAGCAAAGCAAGAAGAACGCUUACCUGAGGAAGAGCCCCCCCUGCUCAGGCUGGAGUCUACCUGUUGGCCUCUCCCUUGGUUCCUCUGCCGUCAGCUGUACCUACAGCAGGUGAGCAGAACAGCUCCGUCACCCUGGGAGACUCCAACCCCCAGGGCUCCUCUGCCCGCCUUGGCUCUGUUCACCAGGCAGUGACUAAGCGUAGGUAGUGGAAAUCCUUCCAGAGCACUCUUCCUGCUGAGUUCCUGUGUUAGGUACUUAUUACACACUCUGGGUUCAGUAGAGUCUUUGCAGUAGAUUUUCAGCAUCAACAAAUAUGAGUCUGUUCGGUGACAUUUUCGAUCCCUUGUGCAAACUCAGAGAAGUCCCCAUGCAUGUGGCGUCUUUGCUGAGUGGGUCACCCCCCUGCACCUUCCAGCUGUACCGCAGGCCCAACCACCUCCCUCGGAGUAGCAUUGGUCAAUCUCUGGGUAUGUUGGCCAAGUGCUCAUGAAUUCCAGGAAAUAUGGCAAAGUUUAUGAGCAAAAUGGCCUAUGUUGGCUCAGAAAAAAAUGCAGAGCAUAGCCAUUGGACUCUUGGCUUCAGGUGGAUAUACUUUUGGGGGGCUCUGAAUACCUUAAUCUUAUUAGAUAUUAAUAGACCCUUCAAAUGGCUUAGCCCAGCAUUACUCAGCUUUGGCGCUACUGAGAUUCUGAGCCAGAUAAUUCUUUGUUGUGUGUUAGCGGGGAAUGGGGUAUAUCCUGUGUAUUUUAGGGAGUUUGGCGACAUCUCUGGCCUCUAUACACUAGAUGCCCGUGACUCCUCAUCUUGGUCACUUCUGAUAACCAAACAUGUCUCUAGACAUUUGGCAACUAUGCCUGGGGACAAAACUGCCCCU